rnacentral:rRNA from 1 species
CAAUAGCGUAUAUUUAAGUUGUUGCAGUUAAAAAGCUCGUAGUUGGAUUUCUGCUGAGAACGACCGGUCCGCCCUUUGGGUGUGUAUCUGGCUCUUUCUUGGCAUCUUCUUGGUGAACGUUGCUGCACUUGACUGUGUGGAGCGCUACCCAGGACUUUUACUUUGAGGAAAUUAGAGUGUUUCAAGCAGGCAUACGCCUUGAAUACAUUAGCAUGGAAUAAUAAGAUAGGACCUCGGUUCUAUUUUGUUGGUUUCUAGAGCUGAGGUAAUGAUUAAUAGGGAUAGUUGGGGGCAUUCGUAUUUAACUGUCAGAGGUGAAAUUCUUGGAUUAGUUAAAGACGGACUACUGCGAAAGCAUUUGCCAAGGAUGUUUUCAUUGA